GCAGAGGGAAAAAUGCAGCGGAUGCCGCCGACCGGAGGCUGCGCGCUAUUGCGCAGGCGUGGUUGACGGUGGCCGGCACCCCCGUGCUCGCGCGCGGUAGGAUUCCUUGGCGGACGGCGCGAGCUCGCAUUUCCCCUCCCCCCCCACAGCCAAGCCCCCGCCACGCGCUUGUUAGUCCGCACGCCUUUCGGAGAACAAACUCAUUCGGCGCCGGGACGCCGAUGAGUGAAGAGGUUCAUUGUCUUUAACUGAAGUUUGUUGUCGACUCUUGUUAUGAACUACUGAGAAAUUCUGCAUCUGCCUUGUUCAAGGAAUAAAUAUGUAAGACCAGUCUCCAUUGGAUGCACAAGAUGGAUAUUAAUCAAGAUGCUACUUUCCAUCAAAACAUUUUUUACUUACAAACAUAUCAAAGAAACUCAUCUUUCGAAACUAUAAGCCUCUCCUGAUUUGAGUUGUUGAAAGAUUGAUUAAAUGAUCAGUGCUUUCACUUGCCACUUUCCUAUUGAUGCAAAUGGCACAAGGCUUCUGUUGUAGUUUAAUUCAGCAGCAGUGUUGUGAACCUUAAACAUAAAUAUUAUUGAUCACACUUGAGUUAUUGACUUUUUUUAAUCAAAAGAUAAUUGAUUGUCUCUUUGCUUGGGGAUGGCGAAGCAAAGUGAUGACAUGCACAAAUUAUUUCAUUUUUGAAUUCACCAUGAAUCCAUUGUGCUCUUGCAAACAUUUUCUUAAAGUUUCUCUCUCAAACACAUUCCUGAGAAGGUGGAAGUAGUGAUGAUUAAUGAAUUCAAACAAAACUGGAUGAACAAUUAACAAAAAUAGACUUGCAAUGGGAAUAGUGCAAAAAAAUGGCAGAAUUGCUGUGCAGAGCAUGGGCAUUGAAUUGAAAGACUGAAUGACCUCCUUCCGUGUUGUACUGACUUUGUGGCUCUAUAGUAUCUAGCUGGGAAUGGUACUUUCAAACUCAGAUAAAUUGAGAUACCAAAAUGUGGAGCUGGAUGAACACAGCAGGCCAAGCAGCAUCUUAGGAGCAUAAAAGCUGACGUUUCGGGAUGAAGGGUUUAGGCCCGAAAUGUCAGCUUUUGUGCUCCUAAGAUGCUGCUUGGCCCGCUGUGUUCCUCCAGCUCCACACUUCGUUAUCUCGGAUUCUCCAGCAUCUGCAGUUCCCAUUAUCUCUGAGAUAAAUUGAUUAGUGUUUAAAAAAAUCUAAUAUUGUACCUUUCGUGUAGGAGUACUCUGCAGUGUAAUGGAACAAUAAUUCUUCCAUUUUGAAGUUUUCCGGUUGUGAAAUGGGAAUGCAUUAUUACCAAAUACACCUUUACAGGUGACAUUUGUCAUGUCUGUACCUGUAAUCUGAAAUAUAUAUGUGGAAAAUUAAAGAAAUGUCCAGAGAUGAAUAACUCUAAUGUGAAUUUUGCUUUAAGGUCAAAAUCCAUAUGCACUCCCUAAUUUUUCAAAACACUCAAAUAACUUGAAAGAAGCUUGAAAAGAUUUGUUUUACUUUAUAUCAAAGGAGUAUAUUUUUGCAAGGUUCCUCUGGUUUACUGAGUAAAUGGAAUGCAUCACUUCACUGAUCUGCAUUACUGUAGCAAAUUUAACAUCUCGCCUCUGCUAUGAUGGAUCCUAUAGUCAAAAAUAAUACUGGGAUGUCCUGCUUUUGUCCACUCUUCCAGUUGUAAAAUUUGUACAAGGUCCGUCAAGUGAUUUUCUUGUAUUUCAGAAGCAUAAAUAGGAAGCAGAGUAAUCCCUACACUUGCCACAAUGGAGUAGGAAAAGCUUUCAUUGAAUGUGGUUAAUGAGACAUUUAAACUGGUGGAAGGCUUCCCUCUAUUGUUUACUUCUCCCACUCAAUGCCAUGCCACAAUUCCAACUGUCUUUCCUCCAGCCAGUCACUAAACUUAAGUUUGCAACCCUGAUUCUCAGAGUUCAGAUUACUCAAUGUUCUUCAUCCAGGCUUCACUAACUCCUGUUUUCACAAGCACCAACUCAUUCAGAGGUCUGCAGGCUAUAUUUAACUCAAAGCUUAAAGCACGCACUAUCUCUCUCCUUGUUGAUGUCCACUGAUUCCCUGUCUCUUUCCCCUGCCCACCCUGAAAAAAAAAUCAAAUGAAAACUUGUUGCUAAUGAAACUGAUUUUGGUUUAAACAGCAACAGAAAAUUCAGAACAUACUUGGCAGAUUACUGUGUAUUUAUGGCAAGAGAAAGAGAGUUCAGGUUUUCAGUUCUUGAUUUCCUGUAUUGCAAUUUAUUACUUGUACAAAUUAAGUUCAUUCAGUCAAUAAUGCACCUCAAAAAUUGAUUAAAUAUAUGAAAUAACUGGACUAUUUAUUCAAUUUUGGAUUGAAUCAUUGGUGACAAAAUAUUUAAGUGAAUUUUGUUAAAUGACUUCUUGUAUUGUUUUUGUUGUUCUAACUGUUCGACGAGAACAGUUCAAACUGUUUUCGUCCUCAUCCUUUAGCAGCUCCUGAUAACAGCACUCCUUAGAACUAGUGCUGUUCUCACAUGAAGCCAAUCUGGCGCAAAGCCAAUGUUCCUUUUUUCACUUUCAAGACAUCCCAUUAUUAACAAUUAGGAAACUGCAUGAGGGGGAAAACAAAAUUGCCCAACAAAGAUCAACCUUAAAUAUUGUUUUUCUAAAACUCACCUACUUUGCAUUACAACCUUCAGUAUCCUGGAGGGAAUAAAGUUGUAGGCGAGGAGAAACCUCCAAAGGGCGAAAGUAGACAACAUCAUCUCGAGUUGCUGUCAGGCAAAAUUGCAUGUGAUUACUGAUAAACAUUUGCAUUUUGACUUAUGCCUAUAAGCUUUGACAUCAUAUUUUUUCCAUUUAGGCAGGAGGUAUGAGUUCACCUAUGGAAUGAAAUCUUACACAAAGGUACUGGGUAGCCCUUUGCAAAGUUGAAUUUAAAGUGUUCCCAGGAGGUACUUUAAGAAAACACCAGUUACUUGGCACCUAACCAUUGUAAGUAACUGGUCAAAGCAGCUUGUGGUAACAAGAGAUCACAUCAAACUGCACUGCAGAGUUUGCAUCUGCACAGCAAAACGCAUUUUGCCUGAAUGCAACCUUGUAUAAGUGAUGUAUAACUAUCGACUGUAAUGUUGAUAUUCACUCUUGCAGCUGCUGUAGAGUUACGCUGAACAAAAAACAAAGCUCUUGUUAAAACAAAACAGUAAGGCAUCAUUUAGCAAAAUAUCGGAUAAGCUAGAUUUACGUAAUUAAAUAGUUACGUUUUGUUAUGAACUAAUCUUCAUUUAGUUAUAUCUUAAAACUAUUUAAGAGACAAAAGCUGACUACAAAUCUAAAUAAUAGUUCAAAUUAAGUAUUAAGGCCCUUUAAAAUAUUCACAAUAUUAUUUUUCUGGAUAAUUACCAUUCCCUUAUUCCUAACUAUGUGAAGUAGUAUUUACAGGAGUGUAACAAUAGAAUCUACAGACACCUAUUUGUGUAAACAUUCUAUUUUGACACAUCAGGUCUCAGGAAUAUAUUUUAAAAUAUGUAUUUCCAGGAAACUCUGUGCGCUCAUCAAACAGGGAAUAAAGUGAAAUGGUGGUUUCCCCUUUUAGAAACUGAAUGAAGCUCCAUUGGACAUCUCAUUAAUAAAUGGCACAUUAACAAAAAAAAUCAAAUAAUGAAUACAAGAAGUCAACGAAAUGAAUGUAGUACAAGGAAAUCAAAAUCCCAACAGUCAUCCAAUUUUUUUAAAAAUAGACCAACAGCAGUCAGCCAAUGCACCAAAAUUCACUGAUGCCAAUUUUUCCACUAGAGAAAUUCAGACUAUCGGAUUUAUUUGCUAGUACAGCAAAAUUAGCAAAUGUGGAAACCACCAUUUCUAUGAUUUUGAACAAAUUUGGACACCAAAUCAAAUGCUGAACAGUUUAACAUAUAACACAUUAUCUGAUGUAGUUACCUAUGUAGUAAUGUAGAUAAUGAGAAACAAGUUACAUUUGACAACCACAUUAGAUGUUUUGAGCAAUGCUUCACAUCAAGAACAAAUAACUCACUGGUCAAAAACAAUUAAUUCCAUGCAACUGUAUCCAAGACUAUGACUGCCUCUGUAAUCCUUUGUCUGUGGUCUUCAACGUGGCAUGUUUAGAUACUCUGAAGUCCCUUGCUAUAGUAAGUAAUAAAAGCCUUUUUCAACACA